AUUGAAUAAGAACGGUCGAGAUCUGUUCUGUUUCUAUGAAAUUUAAAUUAAUAAAAAAGGAUGAAAUUGGUUUUCCUGUUCGUUAAGGCUAAUUCCGUCCAUUUUUUCAACGCAGAUUCGGGGGAUAUCAGAUAUCCCUGAUUAUUCUCGGUUUCCAUAAUCAAAUUGGAUCCUCCUUGAUUGCAAUGAAUUGUAUUUACCUCUUCCACGUUCAGAAAUUAGAGAUUCAAAGAACACUCUCAAAACAAAAGAAAAGGUGGCGCCGAUCGCAUUCUGCAGUUUGAUUUCAUAGGUUUUUCACGCAUACCAUAUUCAAUUCGCACAUCCCGAAAAUCUGUUGCAUCUCUCGAUCCUUCGAACGUCGCAUUUGUUCGAACAACGAAGAAAGCUUCAGAUCGGGACGAAGCUUUAGAUUUUGAUUGGCGUAGCGUGACUAGGGGUGGUGAUGGGAAAAAUGUGAAGUGGGUGGAUGUGUACAAGAAGAAAGAACCAGAGGAGUGGUGUGAUAUCAAAGCCCCUUUACCUUGCAAAUAAGAAGUCUGUUAGUGAAAAUCCACGCCUGAAUUUUUAUGUUAUGUUGAAAUCAAUGUGCUUGCUGGAUCUGAACAGGUAAGAUGUUGGUUUCUGAGUUUUAGUUGAUAUGUUUUUCGAUUUUGGGGAUUUUAAUUGAAUAGGGUUUAGGAUUGUGGAAAUUUAUUGAUUGAUUAGGGAUGUUCAUUGUUUUUUGUGUUUAUGUUCGUCAAUUUAUGCUUCGUAAAUGAUAUUUUUAUGUGUGUGUUCCAUAUACAUGUUUCUUCUGUUCAUGUUUUUCGUGUUUAUGUUCAACAAUAUAUGCUUUGUAAAUGUUAAUUUCAUGUCAAUGUUCCAAAUUAUUUAUGUUCAUGGUUUUUUAUGUUUAUGUUCGUAAAUUUAUGCUAUUUGAAUGUUAAAUUCAUUUAUAUGUUGAGUAUUUAUGUUCCAUAUUAUUUAUGUUCAUGUUUUUUUAUGUUUAUGUUCGUAAAUAUAUGUUUUGUUAAUGUUAAUUUAAUUUUUAUGUUGCAUAUUAUUUUCCAUAUAGUUUACGUGUUUCUGUUCAUGAUUUAUGUGUUUUGCAAUUAUGUGUUCAUGCAAUUAAAGCAUUAGAUGUAAUGUAAUUAUGAACUAGUUAAAUGUUAUAAUGAAAAAUUCGUCUGAUUUGUUA